CAGCCGCCGCGGUAAUACGAAGGGUGCAAGCGUUAAUCGGAAUUACUGAGCGUAAAGCGCACGUAGGCGGCUUGGUAAGUUAGAGGUGAAAGCCCGGAGCUCAACUCCGGAAUUGCCUUUAAGACUGCCGAGCUAGUAGGUGAGAGAGGUAAGUGGAAUUCCGAGUGUAGAGGUGAAAUUCGUAGAUAUUCGGAAGAACACCAGUGGCGAAGGCGGCUUACUGGCUCAUUCUAGACGCUGAGGUGCGAAAGCGUGGGGAGCAAACAGGAUUAGAUACCCGUGUAGUCCCUGUCUCUUAUAA
rnacentral:rRNA from 1 species